rnacentral:RNase_P_RNA from 3 species
AAGCGUGGCAACGCGGCCGCGGACCCGCCGGGAGGCGCGUCCGAGGAAAGUCCGAGCACUGCAGAGCACGGUGGUGGGCAACACCCACCCGCCCCACGGUCCGGGGCGAGGGACAGUGCCACAGAGAACAGACCGCCGAUGGCCGGGUUUUGAUCCGGCACAGGCAAGGGUGAAACGGUGCGGUAAGAGCGCACCGCCCGGACGGCGACGCCCGGGGCACGGCAAACCCCACCGCGUGCAAGCCCAAGCAGUUCCCGCCCCGCGAGGGGACGCCCGGCUCGGGCGGCAGGGGACGGGUCGGGCGCUCGGGCCAUCUGGCCCGGACCGCGUCGGCAACGGCGCGGCAAGAGAAAUGGCCGCGGCCCGCGGCAGGCGCGCACAAGCCCCCGUCAAGGCACGCGCGAACCGCCGACGGGCACAGAACUCGGCUUACCAGCCACGCCGGACC